rnacentral:rRNA from 1 species
UACGGAGAGUGCAAGCGUUGUUCGGAAUUACUGGGCUUAAAGCGCGUGUAGGCGGAGUGUCAGGUGCUUUGUGAAAUCCCCGGGCUCAACCCGGGAAUGGCAGGGCAAACCGGCAUUCUUGAGGCAGGUAGAGGUGACUGGAACGACCGGUGGAGCGGUGAAAUGCGUAGAUAUCGGUUGGAACGCCGGAGGCGAAAGCGGGUCACUGGGCCUGUCCUGACGCUAAGACGCGAAAGCGUGGGGAGCGAACAGG